rnacentral:rRNA from 1 species
CAUCCUCCAAGGCUAAAUACUCCUGACUGACCGAUAGUGAACCAGUACCGUGAGGGAAAGGCGAAAAGAACCCCGGCGAGGGGAGUGAAAAAGAACCUGAAACCGUGUACGUACAAGCAGUGGGAGCCCCACCACCAAAGCAUUUGCUGUACCGCGUUGACGGAGCGAAGCGACGUCAAACCGAUAAAACAGCAGUGUAAAGUGAGCCGCAGGGCGCUUUGCGCGACAGCGCAAAGGCAGGCGGUUUCGCGUAGCGAAAGCGAAUGCUUUGGGGUGGGGUGACUGCGUACCUUUUGUAUAAUGGGUCAGCGACUUAUAUUCUGUAGCAAGGUUAACCGAAUAGGGGAGCCGGAGGGAAACCGAGUCUUAAUUGGGCGUUAAGUUGCAGGGUAUAGACCCGAAACCCGGUGAUCUAGCCAUGGGCAGGUUGAAGGUUGGGUAACACUAACUGGAGGACCGAACCGACUAAUGUUGAAAAAUUAGCGGAUGACCUGUGGCUGGGGGUGAAAGGCC